UGCCCUAGUAACGGCGAGUGAAGCGGCAACAGCUCAAAUUUGAAAUCUGGCCCUAGGCCCGAGUUGUAAUUUGCAGAGGAUGCUUUUGGUGAAGCGCUUACCGAGUCCCCUGGAACGGGGCGCCACAGAGGGUGAGAGCCCCGUAUGGUUUGACGCCGAGCCUCUGUAAAGCUCCUUCGACGAGUCGAGUAGUUUGGGAAUGCUGCUCUAAACGGGAGGUAAAUUUCUUCUAAAGCUAAAUACCGGCCAGAGACCGAUAGCGCACAAGUAGAGUGAUCGAAAGAUGAAAAGCACUUUGAAAAGAGGGUUAAAUAGCACGUGAAAUUGUUGAAAGGGAAGCGCUCGUGACCAGACUUGCGCCGGGCGGAUCAUCCAGCGUUCUCGCUGGUGCACUCCGCCCGGCUCAGGCCAGCAUCGAUUUUCGCCGGGGGACAAAAGCUUCGGGAACGUGGCUCUCUUCGGGGAGUGUUAUAGCCCGUUGCGUAAUACCCCGGCGGGGAUCGAGGACCGCGCUUCGGCAAGGAUGCUGGCGUAAUGGUCAUCAGCGACCCGUCUUGAAACACGGACCGAGGAGUCAAGCAUUAGUGCGAGUGUUUGGGUGUAAAACCCGCACGCGUAAUGAAAGUGAACGUAGGUGAGAGCUUCGGCGCAUCAUCGACCGAUCCUGAUGUUUUCGGAUGGAUUUGAGUAGGAGCAUUAACGCUUGGACCCGAAAGAUGGUGAACUAUACUUGAAUAGGGUGAAGCCA
rnacentral:rRNA from 1 species